GGGCGAGCCAUGGGACUGGAAGGCAGCAGGCAGAUGUCAGGGUCAGGCAUUGCUGGCUCAGAAGCAGCCCAAGGGAAAGACCAGGCAAGAGUAGGGGUGAAGAAAUCUCAUGUAGAAGCCCAGAACUUUCAAGAGAUAAGAAGUAGGGAGAUUCUGGUUUAAAGAGAGAUGACGGAAGCCCCGAAUGUCCUGUCUUCUGCUCCCCCAGAUACCUUCAUGGACUACAGAGCUGUACAUACGUGGGUGAAAAAUCGUUACUUUUUGUGUACUUCCAGACUAUUGAAGUUUAUAACUAAAAAUAAACCAAUAGGAAACCUAGCCAUGGCAUAGUGGCUACAUGCAUGGGAUGUGAAGCCACAAUUCCUGAGUUUGAAUCCCAGCUCUGCCUCAUCUUAAAAGUGUGAUCAUAGAGAGGGUCAUGGAAUACAUGAACUUCAGGC
rnacentral:antisense_RNA from 1 species